GACGAACGCUGGCGGCGUGCCUAAUACAUGCAAGUCGAACGAGAGCGACCGGUGCUUGCACUGGUCAAUCUAGUGGCGCACGGGUGAGUAACACGUGGGUAACCUGCCCAUCAGAGGGGGAUAACAUCCGGAAACGGAUGCUAAAACCGCAUAGGUCUUCGAACCGCAUGGUUUGAAGAGGAAAAGAGGCGCAAGCUUCUGCUGAUGGAUGGACCCGCGGUGCAUUAGCUAGUUGGUGAGGUAACGGCUCACCAAGGCCGUGAUGCAUAGCCGACCUGAGAGGGUGAUCGGCCACAUUGGGACUGAGACACGGCCCAAACUCCUACGGGAGGCAGCAGUAGGGAAUCUUCCGCAAUGGACGCAAGUCUGACGGAGCAACGCCGCGUGAGUGAAGAAGGUUUUCGGAUCGUAAAACUCUGUUGUUAGAGAAGAACAAGUGCUAGAGUAACUGUUAGCGCCUUGACGGUAUCUAACCAGAAAGCCACGGAUAACUACGUG
rnacentral:rRNA from 1 species